GACGAACGCUGGCGGCGUGCUUAACACAUGCAAGUCGAACGGAAAGGCCCUGCUUUUGUGGGGUGCUCGAGUGGCGAACGGGUGAGUAACACGUGAGUAACCUGCCCUUGACUUUGGGAUAACUUCAGGAAACCGGGGCUAAUACCGGAUAGGAGCUCCUGCUGCAUGGUGGGGGUUGGAAAGUUUCGGCGGUUGGGGAUGGACUCGCGGCUUAUCAGCUUGUUGGUGGGGUAGCGGCUUACCAAGGCUUUGACGGGUAGCCGGCCUGAGAGGGUGACCGGCCACAUUGGGACUGAGAUACGGCCCAGACUCCUACGGGAGGCAGAAGUGGGGAAUAUUGCACAAUGGGCGGGAGCCUGAUACGGCAACGCCGCGUGCGGGAUGACGGCCUUCGGGUUGUAAACCGCUUUAGCCUGUGACGAAGCGUGAGUGACGGUACUGGGUGAAGAAGCACCGGCUAACUACGUG
rnacentral:rRNA from 1 species